AGUGAACGCUGGCGGUAGGCCUAACACAUGCAAGUCGAACGGCAGCACAGUAAGAGCUUGCUCUUACGGGUGGCGAGUGGCGGACGGGUGCGGAAUACAUCGGAAUCUACUUUUUCGUGGGGGAUAACGUAGGCAAACUUACGCUAAUACCGCAUACGACCUACGGGUGAAAGCAGGGGAUCUUCCGACCUUGCGCGAUUGAAUGAGCCGAUGUCGGAUUAGCUAGUUGGCGGGGUAAAGGCCCACCAAGGCGACGAUCCGUAGCUGGUCUGAGAGGAUGAUCAGCCACACUGGAACUGAGACACGGUCCAGACUCCUACGGGAGGCAGCAGUGGGGAAUAUUGGACAAUGGGCGAAAGCCUGAUCCAGCCAUACCGCGUGGGUGAAGAAGGCCUUCGGGUUGUAAAGCCCUUUUGUUGGGAAAGAAAAGCAGCAGGUUAAUACCCCGCUGUUCUGACGGUACCCAAAGAAUAAGCACCGGCUAACUUCGUG
rnacentral:rRNA from 1 species